rnacentral:lncRNA from 1 species
GACAGUUGGCAGUUAUUUCGCAACCUUCAUCUGUUCCUGGAAGAUACCCGUAGCCUGCCUUCCUUCUUGACAGGCUGAUUUAGGGGUGCUCCCCAAGAAGAUCAGGACUGCUGAAAGAAUGAAGAAGAACUUACUUGGCCUAGGAUGUGGCUAGAGAACGGAGCGCACUUUCACUUACCUGGCAAGAAGAAUUCCAUUCUCCCAUCCCAGGAAGGAGAGUGCCCUGCGUGCCACGAAAGAGCCCAGGACCCACAGGACAAAUACGUCACUGGCAGACCUGCCUUCGCCAGCGCCAGCCCAUCUCUGAAACCUCCAGCAUUUGUGCCCCGGUCCGGCCCCUCCCAGGCCUGACUCUUUCCGUGAACGGUCACUGCGCAGGAUCAAGCUACAAUGAAGAGGAGGGAGGCAGUCUGCGCGCACCGCCAUUUUCUAGGAACUGGGAAGCCCCCCCACCCCUUAGGAAGAUCCAUCCCUGUGGAACCUUGCCCAGGCUUACCAGCCUUUGCUGAGGUUGAUCUAUUGUCCCUCCUUGUCCCCAUCAAAAUAUCCAGCACUCCACCUUCAGGGAGUAGACUUGACCCUCAAAUAGCAAGUUCAGCCUUCCCAGGUCUAGGUUCCCUGGGAGGUCAAGAUUCGUCUGGUUCCUUAGUACAGAGGGCUAGCUGUGAGUUGGAAUCCCCCUAUGAGCUUUAGAAUCAGUCAAGAGGAAUUGGGCCCCUUCCCUUCAUCCCUCUUCUUUUCCCUUUUUGUCCCAGAGCUCAGCUCUGACUCAAAAGUUUUUCCAUUUACCAUCAACAUGGAAACUUGGCUCCUCACGUAGGUAUAUUAUCCCCCUUUUGUACAUGGUCUUGUUGAUCCAAACUCCCUUUCUGUGAAAGAGGCCUGUGGGGCUCAAGAAGCCUGGUCAGCCAGCCAGGCUAGUCCCACAUACCUCAGAACCAGUUUAAUAAAGGCUCUAUGUCAUUCUUUU